rnacentral:rRNA from 1 species
CAAUAGCGUAUAUUAAAGUUGCUGCAGUUAAAAAGCUCGUAGCUGAACCUUGGGUCUGGUCGACCGGUCCGCCUAACGGUGUGCACUGGAUUCGACCGGGCCUUUCCUUCUGGCUAGCCUGUAUGCCCUUUACCGGGUGUGCAGGGGAACCAGGACUUUUACUUUGAAAAAAUUAGAGUGUUCAAAGCAGGCUUAUGCCGUUGAAUAUAUUAGCAUGGAAUAAUGAGAUAGGACUUUUUUGCUAUUUUGUUGGUUUGCGCAAAGAGGUAAUGAUUAAUAGGGACAGUUGGGGGUAUUCGUAUUCCAUUGUCAGAGGUGAAAUUCUUGGAUUUUUGGAAGACGAACUACUGCGAAAGCAUUUACCAAGGAUGUUUUCAUUAA